UCACGAAACUACGAUGUGGGGGUAGAGCACUGAAUGGGCUAGGGGCCUCACCGGGUUACCAAACCCAAUCAAACUCCGAAUACCAUAUCGACUAUCGUGGGGCUCAGACAGUGGGGGAUAAUCUUCAUUGUCAAAAGGGAAAGAGCCCAGACCAACAGCUAAGGUCCCUAAAGCAUGCUCAGUGGUAAAGGAAGUCAUUGUGCCCAGACAGCCAGGAUGUUGGCUUAGAAGCAGCCACCAUUUAAAGAGUGCGUAACAGCUCACUGGUCGAGCACGAUGGUGCCGAAAAUAACCGGGGCUCAAGCAUGCUACCGAAGCUUUGGCUGUGACAGUUCCUUCGGGAAUCGUCACGGGGUAGGGGAGCGUUGUGUGCAGGUUGAAGGCAGACCGAAAGGACUGCUGGACAGCACACAAGUGAUUAUGCUGGGAUGAGUAACGAUAAAGCAGGUGAGAAUCCUGCUCACCGUAAGCACACGGUUUCCUCCGGAAGGUCAUUCCGCGGAGGGUUAGGCGGUCCCUAAGUCGAGGCCGAUAGGCGUAGACGAUGGAACACGGGUUAAUAUUCCCGUCCUGCCAGUGAAGUGCCCACGGAGAACGCAUGAGACUAACACGGUGGAGCCAGAAGCUGGCCCAUCCGGUGGCGCGGUUUACCUAGUUGAAAGAUUAGGUGCACGCUUCGUCAUCGGCAAACGCCUUGAGCGCUAUAGGCGUGUGAUGUCAUGGUGCCGAGAAAAGCCCGUCGGGAGAUAAUUUCAUUGGCAACCGUACUUCAAACCGACACAGGUGUGCGAGGAGAGUAUCCUCAGGUGCGCGAGAGAACUCUGGUUAAGGAACUCGGCAAAUUCACUCCGUACGUUCGCAAGAAGGAGUGCCGGCGCAAGCCGGCCGCAGUGAAGAGGCCCAACCGACUGUUUACUAAAAACACAGUUCUGUGCUAACUCGAAAGAGGAUGUAUACGGAAUGAUGCCUGCCCGGUGCUCGAAGGUCACAUGGAGUGGUUAGCGUAAGCGAAGCUACGAAAUCAAGCCCGAGUAAACGGCGGCCGUAACUAUGACGGUCCUAAGGUAGCGAAAUUCCUUGUCGGGUAAGUUCCGACCUGCAUGAAAGGCAUAACGAGUUGGGCACUGUCUCAACCAGAGACUCGGUGAAAUUGCAGUAUGGGCGAAGAUACCCAUUACCCGCAGCAGGACGAAAAGACCCCGUGAACCUUUACUGCAGCCUGAUUCUGUGUUUCUGUAACCCAUGCGUAGCAUAGGUGGGAGGCGUUGAUCUACCGGUUCUGGUCGGUAGGGAGCCAUCAGUGAAAUACCACUCUUGUUUUACGGAAAUUCUAACCUGGGGCGUGUAGCCUUGGGGACACAGUUAGGCGGGCAGUUUGGCUGGGGCGGCUUCCUCCCAAAGAGUAACGGAGGAGCACAAAGGUCAGCUCAGUACGGUUGGCAAUCGUACGUUGAGUGCAAGAGCAUAAGCUGGCUUGACUGCGAGACUUAUAAGUCGAGCAGAGCGGAAACGCGGUUCUAGUGAUCCGGUGGUACCUCGUGGAAGGGCCAUCGCUCAACAGAUAAAAGGUACUCCGGGGAUAACAGGCUGAUCUUCCCCAAGAGUCCCUAUCGACGGGAAGGUUUGGCACCUCGAUGUCGGCUCAUCUCAUCCUGGGGCUGGAGAAGGUCCCAAGGGUAUGGCUGUUCGCCAUUUAAAGAGGUACGCGAGCUGGGUUUAAACCGUCGUGAGACAGGUUGGUCUCUAUCCGCUGUGGGCGUCGCAGAAUUGCGGGGACUUAACACUAGUACGAGAGGAUUGUGUUGAACGUCGCUCUGGUGCACCGGUUGUCACGCUCGUGGCAUGGCCGGGUAGCUACCGACGGACGGGAUAAACGCUGAAAGCAUCUAAGCGUGAAGCCCACCCCAAGAUGAAUUCUGCCUAUGAGCUCCCUGGAAGACCACCAGGUUGAUAGGACGGAGGUGUACAGGCGUAUAUCUAAAGGCCUUGAGCUGACCGUUACUAAUCGAGCCAAUGUCGUGGUCGU
rnacentral:rRNA from 1 species